rnacentral:rRNA from 1 species
UACGUAGGGGGCUAGCGUUGUCCGGAAUCAUUGGGCGUAAAGCGCGUGUAGGCGGCCCGGUAAGUCCGCUGUGAAAGUCGGGGGGCUCAACCCUCGGAAGCCGGUGGAUACUGUCGGGCUCGAGUACGGAAGAGGCGAGUGGAAUUCCUGGUGUAGCGGUGAAAUGCUUAGAUAUGACAUAGAACACCGAUAGCGAAGGCAGCUUGCUACACAGUUAUUGACACUGAGGCACGAAAGCGUGGGGAGUAAACAGG